rnacentral:lncRNA from 10 species
CAAGUGUACCUGACUCGGGUUAGCAGGAGCAGCGGGCCCUCAGGUGAGGCCUCAGGCUCCCUGAUGUGUCCCCCCGUCCUCCUCACAGGCUGGCUGUGUGGUUUGACAAGACAGCAGAGGCUGUGGAAAGGAAGGGACAGGGAGCUUGUGCACGCUCUUCCUUCCACCAGCCAGCUCCGGGCAGAGCCAGUGCCCCAGGCACCUUUCCAAGGCAACUGUGCAAACAUAUUCACUUCAGAUCAACCUUCUGUCUGCAAAAUCCAGCCUGUAAACUGGCCCUGCACCCUACAAGAGGCACGGGGAUUUGCUGCUUGUUUUUACUCAUGGGUCUUGUAAGUUCUCCCUUUAGUGAAGGGAGAACUUCCAGAGACCGUCAUGCUUGAUCACACAUUGGCCAGCACUCAUAAAACUGUAUCAUGUUUACUUAAACUAUUUUUUUUUUUUUUUUGAGACAGGGUCUCACUCUGUCACCCAGGCUGGAGUGCAGUGGAACCAUCAUAGCUCACUGCAGCCUUGAACUCCUGGACUCAAGCAAUCCUCCCCCCGGGUAUCCCAAAGGGCUGGGACUACAAAUUGGGUUUGCGCCUCUAUGACCCCAGGCUUGGCUCUGAUCCUCACUCCGGAUCUUGCUCCUGAUCUCUGGAGUGGUAGAAAUAAUCCAGCCCACACGUUUUAACUUGAAUGGAUUUCUGUAAGUGACUGCAUCUCUUUGAUCUGAGGCUCCUGUCUGCAAGGACAAGAACGAUGUAAUUGGAACCACCAAUGGCAGACACAGAAAGAAAACAGGAUUGACAAGCUGGCACCAUGUGAGCCCAUGAGAGCCAAACCAUGGCAAGGGGAUUGCAGAGAGUCAGAUUCUCCACUGAGCCCUGCCCCGGCAGGAAGGCAAGCUCCAGUCAAGGGUGGAACAAGGUGACGCCCACGUUCAGCCAUAGGAAGCUCGCACAUCUCCUGCCACCAGCCACGACAGCCCCCGUCCUGCACAGGCAGGCCCGAAUCUUGGGAAACACAAUGGCUGCCGCCAUCACAGUUAUAGAUAUUCACAGGUCUCAGAGAAGCCCAAAUGCAAUCCUAGCUGACACGAUAACGGAUAUUUAGCAGGGAGUGGAGAGCCCAGGGAAGAAUACUGUGAUGCUGAUGGGGAAUAUUGAUGACUCCCAGUUUGCAGAUAGUGGCACGUGGUGACACCUCCUCACUGUGUGAUCCAGGGGCCUUCCCUGAUGUGGUCCUGGAUGUUUCUGUACUGAUGGCCUCACUCCCCUGGCUGCUUGGCUCUGUACUGGGAUUUUCAUCUCAGGAUGUGUGAAACCAGCCUGAAGACAGUUCUUGUAAAAAUGUCCUUGAAACCAUGAAAUUGGCGCAAGACCGAUCAGAACUGAGAUAGGAAAGUCACUCAAAGAACUCGAAAGCCUACCAGGCCAGAAAGGGUGGUCUACGACUUAAUUGGUUGUAUCAACCCAUGUAAGCAAGGACUAUGUCCUUCAGAAAUGGAUGAACGAGAAUGGAAAGCUGGAGGAAGGAGAGACAGUCACACAUGGGCAGUGCUCAUCAGGAAGGGCUCUGCUUGGCAACAGUGCGUCUGAUCCACCUGUCAGGUAUAUCCUUAUUUUGAAGGUGAGACUUCCUGGGAUUUUGGAGACUGAUGCUAAACUCUGAGCUCCAAGAAAGCAGGAACAAUGUAUCUAACUUGUUCACAGGGCCUCAUGCAAUGUAGGUAUUUGAUGAGUGUUUGUGGAAUGAACUCAUUGACUCUUUUAACAUUCAAAUCUUUCAUAUAUGCAUAUAAAUACAGAAGUUAUGUAUUGUA